GUGGAGUUGUGGGGUGCAGAGUCUGCCCACUGCUCCUCCAUAUCUCAGCUGCAGCAUCUGUGCUGGAGAUGCAUGACAGUGCCCAGCCUCCCUAUUCUCUUCCUGGCCCAGGAGUGGCAGGGGUGGAGACAGUGGCACUGGUGACUGCAAAGCGCCUCUCAGUGACUUCCGGGAGUUGGGUUCUCAGAGGAACACUGGGCCAUGGCUGCAGUGUUCAGAGGUGCCUACUACCUGGUUCUAGUCAGUCAUCUUAAACUGGAACCUCACUCUGUGCCUUUUAAUUGGAGAAUGAAUUCACUUAUAUUCAAGAUGGAGUCUUGCUCUGUCGCCCAGGCUGGAGUGCAGUGGCGUGAUCUCGGCUCAUUGAAAGCUCUGCCUCCCGGGUUCACGCCAUUCUCCUGGCUCAGCCUCCCGAGUAGCUGGGACUACAGGCACCCACCACCACACCCGGCUAAUUUUUUUGCAUUUUUAGUAGAGACGGGGUUUCACCGUGUUAGCCAGGAUGGGCUCGAUCUCCUGACCUCCUGAUCCGCCUGCCUUGGCCUCCCAAAGGGCUGGGAUUACAGGUGUGAGCCACCGCGCCCGGCCCAAAUUCUUAUUUUUUCAUUUACUUCGGGCCCUCAUUCUUAUUUUUCAUUUAAUUUGAUGUAUUUCACUAUUGCUUUCAUAUGCAUUUCCCUGAUUACUAAUAAAUUCAUAUGUCU
rnacentral:lncRNA from 10 species